GGGGAUGGCUGAGUCCCGGUGGGCUUCACGGUCUUCAAAACCGCUGACGGGUCGCGUGGCGAGCCGUGGUGGGUUCGACUCCCAUCCAUCCCCG
rnacentral:tRNA from 1 species